UUUUUCUCUCUGUCAAAACUGCAUCGAGGAGUUCUCCCAUCGGCGCUUUAAGGGUUGUCGCAUUGCUCCCAAAAAAAAAAUUGAGAAGCCAAGAUAGAAAAGUUAUGUAAACACUCUCAAAAGAAACAUUGAAUUCCGGUCGUUAGAGAGAUAAGUUCCAAAAUUUGGAUUUACGGGAAUUAAAGCCGGUUCUGUCAUCAGAAAACUUCCGAUGAUUACUAUCCUAUAUCUUCUCAUAUGAUGGGUGAAAUCUAUGUCACACACUAAAGAAGUAAAGCAUCUUCCAGUUUAUCAAACAAGGGCAUCUUCAAAUCCAUUGGAAGUCCAUCAGUGUUGGAAUCAACGUUCAAGAAUCUUCUGAUUUUUUCCCCAGCUUUGUUGUGCUUCAGAAACUCAGGAAAGGGUCAGUUCCUCUAUCAAAAAUAACGAGUGAAGGAAUGUUUAUGAGAAGAUCUCUACAAAGAUAUGCAGCUUCUUUACCAUUGUUAUCAACAACUAUAUUGGAAAAUUGUUUGGCGCCUAAGAAGAUAAUCCUAGAAGGAGGGUAGGCCUAUAGACUGGAAUUGAAAAUGGGGCUACUGAAAAUUGGCAGUCGGAACAUUACAGUAAGAUAUUUUGUAUCGAGUAUAAUAAUAUACUGAAAUGACUAUGUUGACUUGGAAGUUAGAAGAAAAGACGUGAAAACAAAAUGUAACGCUUAUCAUAAAUAAACAUUUACUUACAAUUCUUUAAACGUCC